GCUCCCCCUUACAGGAUACAGGACACAGGACCGCACUGGUCCACUCAGGCCAUAUGAGCUCCCCCUUACAGAACACAGGAUCGCACUGGUCAACACAGGCUUUAGGAAGCUCCCCCUUACAGGAUACAGGACCGGACUCGUCCACACAGGCCAUAGGGGCUCCCCCUUACAGGGCACAGGAACGCACUGGUCCACACACACCAUAGGAGCUUCCCCUUACAGGACACAGGACCGCACUGGUCAACACAGACCAUAGGAGCUCCCCCUUACAGUAGACAGGUCUGCACUGGUCGACACAGGCCAUAGGAGCUCCCCCUUAAAGGAUACAGGAUGCAGGACCGCUCUGGUCCAUACAGGCCAUAGGGGCUCCCACUU